CCGUCGGCGUUGCGUCCUUGCCGUCUGACCAAGCUGCAGCGGCCGGAGGGGCCGAGGGCACUGCGACGAUCACCUCACCCCUUCCCCACCGUCUUCGCCUGCAUCCCCCCACGACGCUUCCAAGCCCGGGCUCUGCAGUUUUCCGUCCCUCGCCGUUUUGUCGCGGGACCACCAAAUUUCUGCCUCGGAAGAAACCUUGAGCCCGGACGAGCAGUUGCAGCCGGCCUCCAUCGAGCUUUUCCAGCUCGGGCUCCACCGAGCAGCGCAUCGAGGCUGGUAGGAAGGGGGCCGGAGCGUGUUCGUGGGUGGCGGAGGGGGGCCGGCGGCAUCCUCCCGGGAUGGGAAGGAGGACAACGAGCCCGGGGAACGGUCUCCGCACCUUGAGGGACGCGGAAGAGCUGAGCGACCUCGCCGCACGCUUCUAAUUACCAUAAUCAAUUAGCCUGUCGGAAAGCUCCCAAAGCUUCGGGACGAAGAAGGAGCCCGUUCCUCCUGCCUCGUCAGCAAGUUCCCUCUCCCGCUGUAACGCGGCGGGGGAAUGAUCUCAAAAAUGCCUUUGCUCGCUCAGCUGUGAGCCUGAUCGCUUGUAACUGUCCAAACGAAGGCUUUCUCCUAAAAAAAAACCACAAUUAAACCCAGUGAGGUGAUGCUGGAGGGUGCUGUCUUCCGUGGUUAUAGGAUUCUUGGGCGAUAGCUUGUACCCAGCCAAAAAAAAAAUCAAGCCGCGGACUCUGAAGACAGGAAGCAGAGAGUGAAUGUGUGCGAUCGAGCAAGCUCAACGGCCCUUUUUUUGGGGCAAAAUCCAGCAGUUUCCGUUACCCGCGCAGUCGCGCUCUGCGUUUCCUCCAGCUGUUCCGCGCCGGUGGGCAGCAGGCAGGGGAAGGCGCGUGGAAACCUGCGGGCGGGGAAGUCCGCAGCAGCCCGUCGGGAAGAGACGGGGAUUAAGGGUCCCAGGAGCCGGCGGGGUCUGGGGGGAAAACGCCGGGAUUGCGCCUAAAGGUAGCCCUUUGGGGAGAAUGAUAAGGAUUUGGAAAAACGACCCCAAAACUAGGGAAAAAGAUAAAAAAAAAAACAAACCAAUGGUUAGAUAUUGUGUAAUUCUCUGGCCUAAAAAGCCAAUAAGAGGAACUUCAGUAUUUUGGCCAGAAUAAGGGUCCGGUGAAAAUUCAGGCUUUAAUUUUAUUGCUCCGUUUUCAGAGGAAGAACCACGUUAUGCUCCAUGUAAUCCUGAUACUGCGCGGGAGACAGCGGCAGCUGCUCCGGGAGGGGAGACAGGGGCAGCAAUUGGUGCAGUCCCCGGAGAAGGAGGGCACAAAACGGGUCGGUUGGGAGCACUUUUUGGUGGAAGUGGCGCCGUCAGUGUUGUCUAGGGCCCGACUUGGGGUACGGCUCAGGGUUCCAGUUAGGG
rnacentral:lncRNA from 1 species